GGAACGGGGGAGAAGAAGGGCACCGCGGCGGGAGGGAAGAAACAGAGCGAGCUACUCUGCGGGAGCGCAGUUAGCAGCCAGCUGCGGUCACGUGCCUGGGAGGAGGAGCUGAGACCUCAGGGGAGGGGCGCGCGGUAGCGCCCCGGGUACCCUAGCAGGGCUCUGGAGACCACGUGAAGUCUCCUCGGAGCUGGUGUAGUGAAGGAUGAAGAGAAGGCAAUGCAUUGGUUUAGAUAAGCCUCCCAGCAGGACCAUCCUGGUGCUGCCUUUAACCUUGCAGUAGGAACACUAAAAAACAUGACUGACUCCAUGAAAGCAGGGGAUGUAGAAAUACUCCUUAAUGUUGCUGCAAAACGGGGGAUCCAAGAAGCCGAAGAACUUCUGGAGAAUGUUAUUUGAACUAAAAGCAAGCUCUUGCCAACUGCAAGAACUGGGAGUUUUUAUAAACCAUAAUGUGUGUCCUGCAUGCUCUUCCUGGAGCAUAGGAUGUUCUGCUCU